UACGAAGGGUGCAAACGUUGCUCGGAAUUACUGGGCGUAAAGCGCACGUAGGCGGCUUUGUAAGUUAGAGGUGAAAGCCCGGGGCUCAACCCCGGAAUUGCCUUUAAGACUGCAUCGCUUGAAUCCAGGAGAGGUGAGUGGAAUUCCGAGUGUAGAGGUGAAAUUCGUAGAUAUUCGGAAGAACACCAGUGGCGAAGGCGGCUCACUGGACUGGUAUUGACGCUGAGGUGCGAAAGCGUGGGGAGCAAACAGG
rnacentral:rRNA from 1 species